AGGUAAAUACCUUCCACCUCCGCACUUCCACACGUUUAUCCGGUGUGCUGUGUACUCUGGUGUUUGUUUAAGUGAAAUCACCUCUGACAGACUGCGAGCCCUGGAGCGGAGGACCGCGCCUCUCUUACCCUUGAUCCCCACCGCCAACAGUGCCUAGCACGCUGCGGGGGCCACCAAGUGUACCUGAAUGAACGCUGGAAGAAUGAAUUGUUUUUACAUAAACUUAGCCUAUUUCUGGGCUAUUUGUUCUUUAUAUCUUUGUGGUCGAUGGGAAUGCCGACCCAGAAGAAACCCCGAACUGGAAGAUAUCAAGGAAGACUAUUUGACCACAUUUUGGAAGCGGAUAAUUUUUGGCAUUCUGUGAAAAGCAAGACAGUUUUAGUUGCAGGUUACUGGAAACUCACCCUGCCAAGGACUCGGGCAAGUCUACAGGUUAUUUCGACUUGGGGGCGGGGGGGGUUCCAGAGUAUUCCACAGGAGUUUUGGAAAAUUCACCAGGGUGAUCUGGAUAUGCAUGAAAGGGGUGCAAGGGGGAACAGGGCAAAAGACCCACAAGGCAGAUUUCUGUCUUAAGUGUUGUUGAAAAUGUAAGAGGUACAUAUUUUGAACAGUAAGAGUAAGCUUUAAGUCAGGAGCCAAACCGGGAGGCUGAGCAGAGGAAGAGGUACCUAUGGACAAGUGGGGAAGAACGAAGUUGCUGUCACAAGACCCCAGAGUCCCAGGCAUGUGAAGGAAUGAUCUGUGUAAGUUGGACCCAAGUCUCCGUUUUCUUACCUGUACAGAGGGGUUAAUAAUCACACUUACCCUGCUCAUCUGCAAGGCUGUUCAUAAACCAAGCAGCGUCAUCCAUAUGAAUGCACCUGGCAGUUUAUUAGGUCAUGAAAAUGUACACGUUUAGCAGCCUCAUUUCAAGAAAUGAAAUUGAAGAAACAUCAAUCACUGUUGGCAAAUGCAAGACUGGAAAUAAUGUUUGAACAUUUUUAAUUUUGAGAAGGGCCUUUCUGCUGAUACAGCUAUUACUGGAGCUGUUAAAGGGCACAAGUUCAAGGAUAAAAGCAUUGUGAAUUUUGAGACUGCACAGCAGAGGAUUAAACUAAGCACAGACAUCUUCUGAGGACGGGUUCCUCUUUCUACUGCCCGGGUCUCAUCCCCACGAAGCCAGCCCUGGUCUCACAGCUGAAAGUUGAAUCGUAUGAGGACGGGGAUUAGUGUCCUUGUUCCCCACUAGGAAGCAGCCCCCUCGCACACUCUAGUGAUCACCGUUUGCCAAAAUGAAGGAACCUCUCGUCUCUACUUUCGCCGCAGGACACAUCUUGCAACUUGGCCAUCCUGCUCCUUUGCCUUAAAUUUUACGAUUUCAUUCUCAAGCCUGUCGUCUAACCAGUGUGCACUGAAGUUUCAAGUUUCAGCUACGUCCUGACCUUCACGAAGGGAAGGCUUUCGUGUUACGCACACGCACAUGCACUUGCGCACUUCACCGAAUCCAGCAGUGUGUCUUCCUUGUGUUUCCAGCACACUCUGCCUUCCUACCAAAGGACUCACCACAUCGCGCCGUACGUAUUUCUCGAGGUGUCUGUUUCCCCUUCGUGUUGUGAGGCCCUUCGGCGCAGGGGGAGUCCAGCUCAGUUCGGCAGUGCCGGCUCCUAGCGCUGUCCUAGCACGUGCAGGUGGCCCAUAUGUGUUUGGGAAAUGAGUACAGACGCAUCUCAAAAGCUUCUUUAUGGCUGGGCUGCUUCUGUGAUCAAAUCAAACAUCACCCAGACCCGCAGUUAAAUCAGCAUCAUGUUAUUUAACGGUUUUAUGAUGUUUAAAUGAAAUUUUAAAUGCAAUAAUACACAUUCAUGCGCCUUUAGAGUCACUUUCCAAUUUGCUCUCCAUCCACACCCCACUCAUAAUCGCGAGUAUAUGGGAUAUUUGCAAAGCCUCAGGCCCAAAGAGAUAAAGUGCUGACCCACAAAGAUGCUGUGACCGACCAGCCAGCACUUACUGCAAGAUGGAACAGACCUGGAGCAGGAAUGGGAACAGCCAAAGGUGAAAUGGGGCUCCGCUCACUGUCCGCUCCGAAACGAGACGGCCUAGUGAUUUUUCCAUUACAGGUGCACACAGUGAGGCCGGCCCGUACCUGGCCGGGCGGUAAGUAUCCUUCGGCCGGCAGCCCAAACCUCAGGCCGACUCUGCCCCCGCCUGGCAGAUGGAACGGGCCCAUCACAAGGGCUUAUUAAAUUCAUUAGAGAUGAGGCUGCUGCUCGGGAGUGGUCAUUUCGGAGCGGGGCUUGCAGCUCGCUUUAACCCUUCGCAGUAGGAUGCUUGGUGACCCUCUGACAAAAUCCCUCCCCGGUUGCUUCUCUGGGCCUCUCCCCACGUUUUAUGAACCAUCUUACUUGAACCUCAGGACGGCUCAGGGAGGUAGGUAGGCGUUGCGAUCUCCGUUUUACAGACCAGGACUUUGGGCUUCCACUAGGUUCAAUAGUUUGCAUAGGAGGGGGCUUCGCCAGGGUUCAAGCUCUCACCUGUAGGAAAGUGUGUGCUGAUAUAUGUGUCAAACCACUCAGGAACGACUGAGAGCGAAUAUCUGUGUCUGAACAUAGACAUUUGUACGUGAAUAUACAUCAUCUGAAAAAAUA